AAUGGUUCAGAUCUUACUUAACAGACCGAUAUCAAUACGUCCAUUUAAAUGGGAAAUCGUCAAAUCUUACGCAAGUCAAUUAUGGAUUACCUCAGGGAUCUGUUUAAGGACCCUUGCUUUUCUCCAUAUACAUGCUGCCCCUCGGUAACAUUAUUAGAAAACAUGGAAUUAGCUUCCAUUGUUAUGCAGAUGAUACUCAGCUAUAUAUCUCAUCAAGACCAGAUGAUUACUUUAAGCUAUCCAAACUGGCAGAGUGCAUCGAGGACAUAAAACAUUGGAUGACUAGUAAUUUCCUCCUUUUAAACUCUAGCAAAACAGAAAUAUUACUUAUAGCACCAAAAUUAAGUAAACCGAAUAUCUCCGAUUACAGCCUGCAAAUUGAAAGCUGCACUGUUACUCCAACAAAUACAGUUAAAGACCUAGGCGUUAUAUUAGACGGCAACCUGUCAUUUAAAAAUCACAUCUCAAAUAUCACAAAAACAGCCUUCUUCCACCUUAGAAAUGUUGCCAAAUUACGAAGUUAGUUUAGUUAGUUUAUGUGUUGCAGACGCAGAAAAGCUUAUUCAUGCAUUUGUGACCUCACGGCUUGACUAUUGUAAUGCUCUACUUAGUGGUUGUCCUGUAUCAUCGAUAAACAAACUACAGUUAGUUCAGAAUGCAGCUGCCAGAGUUCUUACUAGGUCAAGAAAAUACGAUCACAUAACCCCAGUUUUAUCAUCGCUUCACUGGCUACCCAUUAAGUAUCGUAUUGAUUUUAAAAUUCUUUUAAUUACUUACAAAGCCCUGAACGGUUUAGCACCUACUUACUUAACCGAGCUUUUAUCACGUUACAACCCAUCACGCUCGCUGAGAUCUCAAAACUUAGGACUUUUGACAAUACCUAGAAUAACAAAAUCCACCAAAGGUGGACGAGCUUUCUCAUACGUAGCACCCAAACUCUGGAAUAGCCUUCCUGAUACUAUUCGAGGGUCAGACACACUCUCCCAAUUUAAAUCUAGAUUAAAGACUCAUCUUUUCAGCCAAACUUUCACUUAAAGCAUAUUUAAUGAACAGCAGCUACGCUAAUUAUUCUCUUUAUUCUCUUUCCGCCUCUGCCUCGGGAUGCCCAUCCCGAGGUAGGAAGAAGUUCCACCAUGUCCAGACGACCGACAGAUGCCCAUCCCCAUGCCCAUCCCGAGGCAAUUCCACCAGCUGCCAAGAGAAAUAUGACCAUCGGACCAUCCCAGCUCAGACCACUACAUCCCCAACCAAGAGCAAAGACGGACUAUUUGUCUUAUUAAUGCUGAAGUUACAAUAUUUGGUAUUAAAUGCUAAACUAAAAUCACAUGUCACCAGUUUGAGUGCAGCUAUGACACGUCAGAGGGGAUCUGGCCCUCCCGGUUUAGCCUGGUUUCUCCCGAGGUUUUUUUCUCCAUUAAUCAAUCAUUGGAGUUUGGGUUCCUCGCGACAGCAGGGCAGUGUUGGCCUGCUCACCGGGAGACUGCAUUCAUUCAUUUAUUUAUUUAAUUAGAAAUUCGAUAUUAUUUAUUAGAAUGAUCUUACUCGUUGUAUAAAUACCAUGCACUGUGCUGUGUUUUAACUUUUCUGUUUUUCCUGUUUGCCCCUGUAAAGCUGCUUUGAAACAAUACACAUUGUGAAAAGCGCUAUAUAAAUAAACUUGAAUUGAAUUGA